rnacentral:rRNA from 1 species
GUCGAGCGAAGCGCUAUAGGUAGCUAGCUACCUGAAGUGACUGAGCGGCGAACGGGUGAGUAACACGUGGGUAAUCUGCCUAGAAGCCCGGGAUAACAGUCGGAAACGGCUGCUAAUACCGGAUGAUAUUUAAGCUGUAGAGGCUUAAAUCAAAGUGCUAUGUAGCGCUUCCAGAUGAGCCCGCGUCCCAUUAGCUAGUUGGGUGGGGUAAAGGCCUACCAAGGCGACGAUGGGUAGCCGGUCUGAGAGGAUGGACGGCCACACUGGGACUGAGACACGGCCCAGACUCCUACGGGAGGAGAGGGGGGGGAAUUUUGCGCAAUGGGGGCAACCCUGACGCAGCGACGCCGCGUGAGCGAUGAAAGCCUUCGGGUUGUAAAGCUCUGUCUAGAGGGAAGAUAGUGACGGUACCUCUGGGAGGAGCCCCGGCUAACUACGUGCCAGCAGCCGCGGUAAAAC